UACGUAGGGUGCGAGCGUUACUCGGAAUUACUGGGCGUAAAGCGUGCGCAGGCGGUUCGUUGUGUCGGCGGUGAAAGCCCCGGGCUCAACCUGGGAAUGGCCGUUGAAACUGGCGAACUGGAGUGUGGCAGAGGGGGGUGGAAUUCCGCGUGUAGCAGUGAAAUGCGUAGAGAUGCGGAGGAACACCGAUGGCGAAGGCAGCCCCCUGGGCUGACACUGACGCUCAGGCACGAAAGCGUGGGGAGCGAACAGG
rnacentral:rRNA from 1 species